UUGAACGCUGGCGGCAUGCCUUACACAUGCAAGUCGAACGGCAGCACGGGGGCAACCCUGGUGGCGAGUGGCGAACGGGUGAGUAAUGCAUCGGAACGUGCCCUGAAGUGGGGGAUAACGUAGCGAAAGUUACGCUAAUACCGCAUAUUCUGUGAGCAGGAAAGCAGGGGAUCGCAAGACCUUGCGCUUUAGGAGCGGCCGAUGUCGGAUUAGCUAGUUGGCGAGGUAAAGGCUCACCAAGGCAACGAUCCGUAGCGGGUCUGAGAGGAUGAUCCGCCACACUGGGACUGAGACACGGCCCAGACUCCUACGGGAGGCAGCAGUGGGGAAUUUUGGACAAUGGGCGCAAGCCUGAUCCAGCCAUGCCGCGUGAGUGAAGAAGGCCUUCGGGUUGUAAAGCUCUUUCGGCGGGGAGGAAGGCACCGGCGCGAAUAGCGUUGGUGAUUGACGUAACCUGGAGAAGAAGCACCGGCUAACUCCGU
rnacentral:rRNA from 1 species